ACGGGAGGCAGCAGUGAGGAAUAUUGGUCAAUGGGCGAGAGCCUGAACCAGCCAUGUCGCGUGAAGGAAGAAUGUCCUAUGGAUUGUAAACUUCUUUUAUAGGGGGGUAAAAAAUGGGAUGUAUCCCAUCUUGCAAGUACCCUAUGAAUAAGCAUCGGCUAACUCCGUGCCAGCAGCCGCGGUAAUACGGAGGAUGCAAGCGUUAUCCGGAUUUAUUGGGUUUAAAGGGUGCGUAGGUGGUAUAUUAAGUCAGUGGUGAAAGUUUGCGGCUCAACCGUAAAAUUGCCAUUGAAACUGAUGUACUUGAGUGCGGUAGAGGUAGGCGGAAUGUGUGGUGUAGCGGUGAAAUGCUUAGAUAUCACACAGAACACCGAUUGCGAAGGCAGCUUACUGGAGCGCAACUGACACUGAGGCACGAUAGCGUGGGGAUCGAACAGGAUUAGAUACCCUGGUA
rnacentral:rRNA from 2 species